GUUCCCUCCGAAGUUUCC
rnacentral:ncRNA from 2 species